ACUCCUACGGGAGGCAGCAGUAGGGAAUCUUCCACAAUGGACGAAAGUCUGAUGGAGCAAUGCCGCGUGAGUGAAGAAGGGUUUCGGCUCGUAAAACUCUGUUGUUAAAGAAGAACACCUUUGAGAGUAACUGUUCAAGGGUUGACGGUAUUUAACCAGAAAGCCACGGCUAACUACGUGCCAGCAGCCGCGGUAAUACGUAGGUGGCAAGCGUUGUCCGGAUUUAUUGGGGCGUAAAGCGAGCGCAGGCGGUUUUUAAGUCUGAUGUGAAAGCCUUCGGCUUAACCGGAGAAGUGCAUCGGAAACUAGGGAGACUUGAGUGCAGAAGAGGACAGUGGAACUCCAUGUGUAGCGGUGGAAUGCGUAGAUAUAU
rnacentral:rRNA from 1 species